GAUGAACGCUGGCGGCGUGCCUAAUACAUGCAAGUCGAGCGAACAGAUGAGGAGCUUGCUCCUCUGACGUUAGCGGCGGACGGGUGAGUAACACGUGGAUAACCUACCUAUAAGACUGGGAUAACUUCGGGAAACCGGAGCUAAUACCGGAUAAUAUAUUGAACCGCAUGGUCCAAUAGUGAAAGACGGUUUUGCUGUCACUUAUAGAUGGAUCCGCGCCGCAUUAGCUAGUUGGUAAGGUAACGGCUUACCAAGGCAACGAUGCGUAGCCGACCUGAGAGGGUGAUCGGCCACACUGGAACUGAGACACGGUCCAGACUCCUACGGGAGGCAGCAGUCGGGAAUCUUCCGCAAUGGGCGAAAGCCCGACGGAGCAACGCCGCGUGAGUGAUGAAAGUCUUCGGAUCGUAAAACUCUGUUAUUAGGGAAGAACAAAUGUGUAAGUAACUAUGCACGUCUUGACGGUACCUAAUCAGAAAGCCACGGCUAACUACGU
rnacentral:rRNA from 1 species